rnacentral:lncRNA from 1 species
AGGACUGCCCAGCACGCUGCUUUUCCUCCAACAGAAAGAACCCCUUGCUUUCUCCAUUGCACCUGAGGAACCAAUGGCAGAUGAUGGAGACAGAGUGGCUCACUGCUCUUAUGGCUGGAGAAGCGGUGGGAAGCUCUUGGCACCACAACCUCUGAAUUAAUGUACUCUGCUCUGCUCGCUGUGCCUCCUUGCUCCCAGCAUGGGCAUGGAGUCCUGUUAUGCAGCAUGCCACAUUUUUUUCCUGCGGAAGACACCAAGAUUAGAUGAGAGGACGUGUUCGGCAGCAGAAGAGAAAGUCUC